GACAGAGGUGCCAAGCGUUAGGCGGAAUCACUGGGCUUAAAGCGUGUGUAGGCGGAUCGUUAAGUGCCUUGUGAAAGCCCCCGGCUCAACUGGGGAGGGUCACGCGAUACUGAUCGACUCGAAGGCAGGAGAGGGAAGUGGAAUUCCCGGUGUAGUGGUGAAAUGCGUAGAUAUCGGGAGGAACACCAGUGGCGAAGGCGACUUCCUGGCCUGUUCUUGACGCUGAGGCGCGAAAGCUAGGGGAGCAAACGGG
rnacentral:rRNA from 1 species